AUGCUUUUGUGGUUCAUAGGUGUGAUGGUUGGUUUUUCUCACUACUGUGGGACAUGUGUCUCCAUCAAACUAGCUAUGAUGUCAGCACGCUAUCUAAUUGACA